rnacentral:rRNA from 1 species
CCUACGGGUGGCUGCAGUGGGGAAUUUUGGACAAUGGGGGCAACCCUGAUCCAGCCAUGCCGCGUGAGUGAAGAAGGCCUUCGGGUUGUAAAGCUCUUUCGGACGGAACGAAAUCGCUUGGGCCAAUACCCUGAGUGGAUGACGGUACCGUAAGAAGAAGCACCGGCUAACUACGUGCCAGCAGCCGCGGUAAUACGUAGGGUGCGAGCGUUAAUCGGAGUUAGCGGGCGUAAAGCGUGCGCAGGCGGGUAAGCCCCGGGCUUAACCUGGGAAUUGCGCUUGGGACGGGGCGGCUAGAGUACGGCAGAGGGAGGUGGAAUUCCACGUGUAGCAGUGAAAUGCGUAGAGAUGUGGAGGAACACCGAUGGCGAAGGCAGCCUCCUGGGCCAGUACUGACGCUCAUGCACGAAAGCGUGGGGAGCAAACAGGAUUAGAUACCCCAGUAGUC